rnacentral:rRNA from 1 species
GCGGACGGGUGAGUAACGCGUGAGUAACCUGCCUUCAGGAGGGGGAUAACAUUCCGAAAGGAAUGCUAAUACCGCAUGACAUUGUAUUUCCGCAUGGAAUAACAAUCAAAGAUUUAUCGCCUGAAGAUGGACUCGCGUCUGAUUAGAUAGUUGGUGGGGUAAAGGCCUACCAAGUCGACGAUCAGUAGCCGAACUGAGAGGUUGAUCGGCCACAUUGGGACUGAGACACGGCCCAGACUCC